rnacentral:rRNA from 1 species
UACGUAGGGUGCAAGCGUUGUCCGGAUUCAUUGGGCGUAAAGAGCGCGCAGGCGGCUUGGUAAGUCGGAUGUGAAAACCCGAGGCUCAACCUCGGGCGUGCAUCCGAUACUGCUCGGCUAGAGGUAGGUAGGGGAGAUCGGAAUUCCUGGUGUAGCGGUGGAAAUGACGCAGAUAUCAGGAGGAACACCGGUGGCGAAGGCGGGUCUCUGGGCCGUAACUGACGCUGAGGAGCGAAAGCGUGGGGAGCGAACAGG